rnacentral:rRNA from 1 species
UGUGUAGGCGGUCCCCUAAGUUUGGUGUGAAAUCUCCCGGCUCAACUGGGAGGGUGCGCCGAAAACUGGGGGGCUAGAGUACUGGAUGGGAGAGUGGAAUUCCUGGUGUAGCGGUGAAAUGCGUAGAUAUCAGGAGGAACACCUGUGGUGUAGACGGCUCUCUGGACAGUAACUGACGCUGAGACACGAAAGCGUGGGUAGCAAACA